UGGGGAAUUUUGGACAAUGGGCGCAAGCCUGAUCCAGCAAUGCCGCGUGAGUGAAGAAGGCCUUCGGGUUGUAAAGCUCUUUCAGUCGAGAAGAAAAGGCUGCAGUGAAUAACUGUAGUUUAUGACGGUAUCGACAGAAGAAGCACCGGCUAACUACGUGCCAGCAGCCGCGGUAAUACGUAGGGUGCGAGCGUUAAUCGGAAUUACUGGGCGUAAAGGGUGCGCAGGCGGUUUUGUAAGUCAGAUGUGAAAUCCCCGGGCUUAACCUGGGAAUUGCGUUUGAAACUACAAGACUAGAGUGUGGCAGAGGGAGGUGGAAUUCCAUGUGUAGCAGUGAAAUGCGUAGAGAUAUGGAAGAACAUCGAUGGCGAAGGCAGCCUCCUGGGUUAACACUGACGCUCA
rnacentral:rRNA from 1 species